rnacentral:rRNA from 1 species
AACGGGUGGUAAUGCCGGAUGCUCCGACUCCUCGCAUGGGGUGUCGGGAAAGAUUUCAUCGGUAUGGGAUGGGGUCGCGUCCUAUCAGGUAGUCGGCGGGGUAACGGCCCACCGAGCCUACGACGGGUAGCCGGCCUGAGAGGGCGACCGGCCACAUUGGGACUGAGAUACGGCCCAGACUCCUACGGGAGGCAGCAGUGGGGAAUAUUGCACAAUGGGCGCAAGCCUGAUGCAGCGACGCCGCGUGCGGGAUGACGGCCUUCGGGUUGUAAACCGCUUUUGAUCGGGAGCAAGCCUUCGGGUGAGUGUACCUUUCGAAUAAGCACCGGCUAACUACGUGCCAGCAGCCGCGGUAAUACGUAGGGUGCAAGCGUUAUCCGGAAUUAUUGGGCGUAAAGGGCUCGUAGGCGGUUCGUCGCGUCCGGUGUGAAAGUCCAUCGCUUAACGGUGGAUCUGCGCCGGGUACGGGCGGGCUGGAGUGCGGUAGGGGAGACUGGAAUUCCCGGUGUAACGGUGGAAUGUGUAGAUAUCGGGAAG